GACGAACGCUGGCGGCGUGCUUAACACAUGCAAGUCGAACGGAAAGGCCCUGCUUUUGUGGGGUGCUCGAGUGGCGAACGGGUGAGUAACACGUGAGUAACCUGCCCUUGACUUUGGGAUAACUUCAGGAAACUGGGGCUAAUACCGGAUAGGAGCUCCUGCUGCAUGGUGGGGGUUGGAAAGUUUCGGCGGUUGGGGAUGGACUCGCGGCUUAUCAGCUUGUUGGUGGGGUAGUGGCUUACCAAGGCUUUGACGGGUAGCCGGCCUGAGAGGGUGACCGGCCACAUUGGGACUGAGGUACGGCCCAGACUCCUACGGGAGGCAGCGGUGGGGAAGAUUGCACGAUGGGCGGAAGCCUGAUGCAGCAACGCCGCGUGCGGGAUGACGGCCUUCGGGGUGUAAACCGCUUUCGCCUGUGACGAAGCGUGAGUGACGGUAAUGGGUAAAGAAGCACCGGCUAACUACGUG
rnacentral:rRNA from 1 species